GCUCCCGUCGUUCAACGGAUAGGACAUAAGGUUGCGGACCUUAAAAUCGGGGUUCGAUUCCUCGCGGGGGCA
rnacentral:tRNA from 1 species